rnacentral:rRNA from 1 species
CUACGGGCGGCUGCAGUGAGGAAUAUUGCACAAUGGGGGGAACCCUGAUGCAGCAACGCCGCGUGGAGGAUGACGCAUUUCGGUGUGUAAACUCCUUUUAUAUGUCAAGAAAAUGACGGUAGCAUAUGAAUAAGCACCGGCUAACUCCGUGCCAGCAGCCGCGGUAAUACGGAGGGUGCAAGCGUUACUCGGAAUCACUGGGCGUAAAGGACGCGUAGGCGGGUUGGAAAGUCAGGUGUGAAAUCCUACAGCUUAACUGUAGAACAGCACUUGAAACUUCUAAUCUAGAGUAUGGGAGGGGGAGAUGGAAUUAGUGGUGUAGGGGUAAAAUCCGUAGAUAUCACUAGGAAUACCUAAAGCGAAGGCGAUCUCCUGGAACAUUACUGACGCUAAGGCGUGAAAGCGUGGGGAGCAAACAGGAUUAGAUAUCCGCGUAGUC